CCUGCAGGCCCACGGGACAGUUAUGGACACGCCUUAAGGCCGGGACUCACGUGCGCAAUGGAAGAACCUGACCUGUUGAUCUGCUCCUGGCAGUGAAGGCCCUCGGCGUCAUCCUGGGGACACGACCAGGGGGGGUCAGCACGACAAAACGAUGUUCUGCUCAUAACGCUGCCAGAAGCCUCUGGGAUGGAAGCGUGGGCGGGCCGCCCGCCCCCAUCGGGGGGGUUUACCUGGAGAGCCACGCAGGGAGUAUCCUGGAUCUGAAGCGACACUUCCUCCCCAUCCAGCGCGACCUUUCUGGAGUAGAGCGCUCCUGGGGAGAAUGAAAGGGAAUGGGAUGAAUGGCCGGACGGGGGGCUUCUGCUGCUCGCUUCGAGCAAACGUCCCUCUAGUUGGUGUCGGAGGAACUCACCAGUGUUCGCUUCGUAGUCCCCGAUGAACCUCUUGGUCAGAAACCUGACAAUCAGAGCUGAAGAAGAGACGAGAAAAGGACCACGUUUCUAAACCGUUGUCUCGUUGGAAGUAAAACAUGUUUCUUAACCCUCAAGGUUCUCGUGCUUUGAAUUGGAAAUAAACGACAGAAGAUCAGACCAACCUGCUGAACCUGCACAACCCUUAACCGGUUGCAGGUGUUGCAGGAAUUUCUCAUUUUCUGUGUCACAUUUUUAGAUUCUAAAAAGGUCUGCGGCAGAGAUGAGCCGAACCAACAGGCCCAAAGUCUGCAGAAGGGAAAUGAUUCACCAAUACUACGAAUGUGAUGUGUGGCAACCCGCUGUGCGUCAUCUUUGUGUUGGUCAAUGAUUGUCUCAUGCAUCUCUGUCUGUUUCUAAACCUUCUUUUUGGCAGAAGCAUUUGUCUCCCGUCUGUGAUUUGUACACAUUAAAGGUCUCACGAAGCGCCGAGUCGCAGCAGGAAGGGCUGCGAAAUCCUCCCGACACCCACAACCCUACAUUUCCCAUAAUGCAACGUGGUACCUUCCCUCGGCAUCCCCACCUGAGCCCGAACUGUGAUCGCCCCGAUGACAUCACUAUGACAUCACCAGGGCUGUUUUCUAUGACUCCAGAGACAAAAAGCACUGCUUUCUGGUUGGUUCAUGUCGACGAACUUGAAUAGUUCCUUGAAGUUUAGUACGAAUUGUAAAAAACUCACCUCCUGCCUUCCAGAGAGAAUAUAUUUACAGUACUUAAAACCCUCAACAGGAUCCAAAGUUGUUGAGAUCUAAAGCGACACAACUGGAAUAAGUUAUGCUCUUAAUUCUCUCUUUGUUAUUU